GACGGGAGCUUGCUCCUUGAUUCAGCGGCGGACGGGUGAGUAAUGCCUAGGAAUCUGCCUGGUAGUGGGGGACAACGUUUCGAAAGGAACGCUAAUACCGCAUACGUCCUACGGGAGAAAGCAGGGGACCUUCGGGCCUUGCGCUAUCAGAUGAGCCUAGGUCGGAUUAGCUAGUUGGUGGGGUAAUGGCUCACCAAGGCGACGAUCCGUAACUGGUCUGAGAGGAUGAUCAGCCACACUGGAACUGAGACACGGUCCAGACUCCUACGGGAGGCAGCAGUGGGGAAUACUGGACAAUGGGCGAAAGCCUGAUCCAGCCAUGCCGCGUGUGUGAAGAAGGUCUUCGGAUUGUAAAGCACUUUAAGUUGGGAGGAAGGGCAGUAAGUUAAUGCCUUGCUGUUUUGACGUUACCGACAGAAUAAGCACCGGCUAACUCUGUGCCAGCAGCCGCGGUAAUACAGAGGGUGCAAGCGUUAAUCGGAAUUACUGGGCGUAAAGCGCGCGUAGGUGGUUUGUUAAGUUGGAUGUGAAAGCCCCGGGCUCAACCUGGGAACUGCAUCCAAAACUGGCAAGCUAGAGUACGGUAGAGGGUGGUGGAAUUUCCUGUGUAGCGGUGAAAUGCGUAGAUAUAGGAAGGAACACCAGUGGCGAANGCGACCACCUGGACUGAUACUGACACUGAGGUGCGGAAGCGUGGGGAGCAAACAGGAUUAGAUACCCUGGUAGUCCACGCCGUAAACGAUGUCAACUAGCCGUUGGAAUCCUUGAGAUUUUAGUGGCGCAGCUAACGCAUUAAGUUGACCGCCNGGGGGAGUA
rnacentral:rRNA from 1 species